rnacentral:misc_RNA from 1 species
GAAAAAAAUUCAAUUUUGCAGAAGCAUCUUCGGGGGAUGAAAUGGUUGACAAUGAAGUCGAAUCUUCCGAGGAAGAAGAGAAAACUGGUAGUGACAUUCUUUGUCAUGAAACUGUGGUACAAAGUCAAGUUACUGGAAAAAUUACUGCCCUUGCCGAAACUGCUUCCAAGUCUAAGAAAUCCCCCCGUACUAAGCAAAGUUCUCUUGUUCAGGCUACUAUUUCAACAAUGUUUAAGAAAGUGGACAAGCUUGUCACUCCAGAUAGAGUUUCUCAAAGGAAAACAAGAAAAUCAACAAACAAAGGGGAAUCCAACACAGAAUGUGGUUCAACCAUACCUGCUCAUGUUGGUACUUCUCAGGGUGAAGAUGAUAUUGAAGAGUUGUCUAGUUCAUCUAAGGUUUGAGUUCUGAAACACUUCUAAAAGAAUUUCUUUUCAUUUAUUAAUUAUUUAUCUGUUA